rnacentral:rRNA from 1 species
UACGUAGGGAGCAAGCGUUGUCCGGAAUCAUUGGGCGUAAAGCGCGCGUAGGUGGCUUCGUAAGUCCGUUGUGAAAGUCAAAGGCUCAACCUUUGAAAGCCGAUGGAUACUGCGGAGCUAGAGUACGGAAGAGGCGAGUGGAAUUCCUGGUGUAGCGGUGGAGUGCGCAGAUAUCAGGAGGAACACCAAUAGCGAAGGCAGCUCGCUGGGACGUUACUGACACUGAGGCGCGAAAGCGUGGGGAGCGAACAGG